rnacentral:rRNA from 1 species
AUGUCAUUUGGAUUGGCGUGUGCUCCACCAACAUUCAUAGGCGUUGUAACUUGUACCUUGCGACCCCUGUUGCGUGUCUGUGUCAUCCUCUUCUUCGAUGACAUCUUAGUUUUCAGUAAAACACUGGAACAACAUGUGGAACAUCUGAGUCAAGUGCUGCAAUUACUCCAAAGGGAUCACUGGCAAGUAAAGCAAUCCAAGUGUUCAUUCGGACAGCGACAGAUUGCUUACCUAGGGCAUGUGAUUGAUGAGCGAGGAGUUUCAACGGAUCCGGAGAAAAUUGCAACUAUCAGAAACUGGCCUGUGCCUCGUAACAGCAAAGAAGUGCGUAGUUUCCUUGGAUUGGCAGGUUACUACCGGAAAUUUGUCAAGCAUUUCAGCAUCAUUGCCAGACCUCUCUUCAAUUUACUCAAAAAGGGGCACCCGUUCGUGUGGACUGCUGAAACUAACAAAGCUUUCGAGCUACUGCAACAGGGCCUGGUUUCUGCGCCAGUUUUGCACUUGCCGGAUUUCACUAAGCAGUUUGUUAUUGAUACGGAUGCUUGUGAUUAUGGAGUUGGA